AAAAGAACACAUGGCCAAAAUGGACAUGUUCAGCUCAAGCCCGUGCCAGAUGGUUCCUUGCCCUUACCUUGGCCCGCAACCCACAACUAGCGUCCGACCGUAAACCUGACGUUCGGGCCCCGGAACCUGUUCAAACUGAUCACGUGAAACAUGGCGACGUCAAGAUUGAAGUUGGCCAAUACAGCUCGGAUAAUGCUGGAUUAAUACAAGAUAAGUAAAUGCUUUACAACUAGGAAAGCUACGGAUUGAUUAAACUUGCUCCAAAUCUCUCUUUCAUUGUCAUAUCGAUCCACUAUAGUGUGCAUUACAUGACGUAGCACGGAGAAGUGGAGCGAGAAAGAGAGACUUGUCAACUUCGGAAAAUCUCGGUUAAAACUGAACCGAAAAUGCAAGACUUACUUUAAUUGUUUUCCCUCAAUUUCUUUCUGUAUUAUUUACUAUAAUGGAACUCAUGUUAUUUACACUGUGCUAGAUCAAUACAUAUAAACACUGACAGAAAACAAUUAAAGCAAGCAUUUUCGGUUCAGUUUUGAACCGAGAUUUUCCGAAGUUGACAAGUCUCUCUUUCUCGCUCCCCCUCUCCGUACUACGUCAUGUAAUGUACAUUAUAGUGGAUCGAUACUAUAUGGCAAUGAAAGACAGACUUGGAGCAAGUCUACGGAUUGAUAGGGAUGCAGUUAACUACCUGAAAAAUACAAGGAGAACUUCGACGUUUCGAGCGAAGGCGCUUCGUUGGGAAGUUAGAAGUUUGGCUACUUACUUCCCAACGAAGUGCCUUCGCUCGAAACAUCGACAUUUUUGUAUUGUUCAGGUACUUGCAUCCCUAUUCCCUAUCAAUGGACAUAUUCCCUAAUAAACAAAAUUUUGAUCUGGACAAGUCUAGACAAAAAUUUCACCACAGCUUGAAAGAGCAUCACAAAAUUAGUAAUAUUCCGAUGUUUCGUUGCGAAAUCGGUUGUAAAAUGCGGAUAAUAUAGCCCUGCGCAAAGUUUGCCGUUUUUCAGUCAUUUUGUAUUACGCUUGGGAAAUUGAUACCUUUUUUCAGAAAGCGGCUAUCAAUUUCCCGUGCGUAAUACAAAAUGACAAACGCACACUACAUACACUGGCAGAGACCGUUCUAAAAGCGUUAAUAAUUCAUGAAGGAAAUUCAAAAGAAUUGCAUAUUAAUUAUGUAUUUAGAACUAAGAGCCGGGAAGAUCACAGCUGGUUUUCGUCAACUUUUCGAAACAGCUGUAGCUUAACACCAGACAAUGUAAUCAAUAACAAGGCUUGAUGCCCGCGAGAAUGCUGGUCUUAGUAGUCAUCGCCCGGGAAAAUUAAACAAUUCAAAAUGGCCACUAUCGAAAUUUUCGCGGGCGAUGACUACCAAGACCAGCAUUCCUCGCGGGCAUCAAGCCUUGUGACGUCAUUAUACAUAAGGUCUAUUGUUAAAACUAGAGCACACUCGGAGGCGGUAUACCUCCGCCAGCGAAUUAAGUGGGCUGAUUACGCAUUAACUCUACUCUGCCAAGACGAACUUUCCGACCAAACUAUCCUUAUAAAACAGCUAUGAAACCUGAAACUUUUUAUUUUUUGGCCUAAGUAUAGUUUUUAUUGAAAAGUUACAUAUUCUUCUUCUGACACUACAAAGUACAACGAAAGGUUCGUUUAUCACUAGCGGGAUUCGUUGUACUCUACAGUGUCGGAGUAAAUAUGAAAACAUAGUUUUUCAUAUCUCUGAGGAUGGUUCUGAAAUAGUUUUUGUUGCCUGGUGUCACAGGAUUCCCCCCCUCGCCCCCUCUCAAUUUUAACAAAAACUGCCACGGUGAUAUCGAUUACUUUUUAACAAUUAGUUUAAAGAUUAACAAAAAAUGCAUGGAUGUGUUUUGAUGUCAUAAUUUUGAAUUAAAGCUCAUAGUAACUGAUUUCAAAUGAGUCAUGUAAUAAUUAUCCCAUGCAACCGUUUGGAAAUCGAAAUUUUUACGGAUCUCUUAAAGGGGGGCCAAUCUCCUAGGAAUUGGGGGGGGGCGAAAUUCCUGGGGCACCCGCCAGCAGAUUCGGAAUGUGUCUAUUACCAGUUACGUAUUUACACUCUAUUACCAGUUAUGUUUUACAAGUUAAAUGAUCAGAUUAUGUAUUUACAAGUUAAAUGAACGAGAGAAUUACAUUUGCAUUGUACAAACGAUAAACAUAUACAGAAAUUUAGAUGAUACUCGGCAAAUAGAGAACUGCACAAAAUGCACCAAUAUAGAACUGCACAAAACUAUUAUAAUUAUUAACAUAUUAUUAAAAAGAUAGUAGGCUAUGUAGUUACUAAAUUUGCAAGACGAUCACAUUAUUACAAAAUGUAUAUAUGGAGGUUGCACUUCGUGCCACUUUCUACAUUUUUUUUGUAAAAGGAAUAAAAACUGGACUUGCCCUGAACAUGUCAAAAUAUAUAUAUUAAGCUAGGCCUACCACAUAAUGCGUAGACAGUGCAGAUAUCAGACCUGUUUUACUCAAAGCCUUGUUUUCCAAUAAACUUCAAAUAAUGUUGCACUUGCACACGUGAAAGCGAGGCUCUAUAGCCAAACGUUACAGGGUUACCACUGAGUAAUUUUAAAAAAUACAAAACAAUGGACACUCCGAAAACAGUUAACAUUUCUAAUACGACGUUUCGACUAGCUUGCAGUCAUCAUCAGGAAUGACGCUACGGAAAAAUAUACAUGUUAUAUAUACAAGAUCGAAUGACA